CAGCCGUAAACAAUGUGCGUUAGGUAUGUCGGUAACCACGUGUUACUGAUGUGCCGAAGAGAAAUCGUGAAACGCACCACCUGGGAAGUACGGUCGCAAGGCUGAAACUUAAAGGAAUUGGCGGGGGAGCACCACAACGGGUGGAGCUUGCGGUUUAAUGGAUUCAACGCCGGAAAUCUUACCGGGACCGACAGCAACAUGAAGGCCAGGCUGAAGACUUUGCCGGAUUAGCUGAGAGGUGGUGCAUGGCGUAGUCGUGU
rnacentral:rRNA from 1 species